GACGAACGCUGGCGGCGUGCUUAACACAUGCAAGUCGAACGGAAAGGCCUGCUUUCCCUUGUGGAUUGCGGGUACUCGAGUGGCGAACGGGUGAGUAACACGUGAGUGAUCUGCCCCCAACUUGGGUAUAAGCCCGGGAAACUGGGUCUAAUUCCCGAUAGGACUGCAGGGUGGUGCCGGUGGUGGAGAACGUUCUGCUAGUGGUUGGGGAUGAGCUCGCGGCCUAUCAGCUUGUUGGUGGGGUAGUGGCCUACCAAGGCGGCGACGGGUAGCCGGCGUGUGAGCGUGGACGGCCGCAGUGGGACUGAGACACGGCCCAGACGCCUACGGGCGGCAGCAGUGGGGACUAUUGCGGCGUGAGCGGAAGCCUGAUGCAGCGAGGCCGCGUGGGGGAUGACGGCCUUCGGGUUGUAAACUCCUUGCGACCGCGAGGAAGCCACCUGGUUGGAAGGGUGGUGACGGUAGUGGUAGAAGAAGCACCGGCUAACUACGUG
rnacentral:rRNA from 1 species